AUUGAACGCUGGCGGCAUGCCUUACACAUGCAAGUCGAACGGUAACGGGCCUUCGGGUGCCGACGAGUGGCGGACGGGUGGGUAAUACAUCGGAACGUGCCCGAUCGUGGGGGAUAACGAGGCGAAAGCUUUGCUAAUACCGCAUACGAUCUACGGAUGAAAGCAGGGGACCGCAAGGCCUUGCGCGGACGGAGCGGCCGAUGGCAGAUUAGGUAGUUGGUGGGAUAAAAGCUUACCAAGCCGACGAUCUGUAGCUGGUCUGAGAGGAUGAUCAGCCACACUGGGACUGAGACACGGCCCAGACUCCUACGGGAGGCAGCAGUGGGGAAUUGUGGACAAUGGGCGCAAGCCUGAUCCAGCCAUGCCGCGUGCAGGAUGAAGGCCUUCGGGUUGUAAACUGCUUUUGUACGGAACGAAAAGCCUUCUUUUAAUACAGGAGGGUCAUGACGGUACCGGAAGAAUAAGCACCGGCUAACUACGUG
rnacentral:rRNA from 1 species